UACGUAGGGUGCAAGCGUUAAUCGGAAUUACUGGGCGUAAAGCGUGCGCAGGCGGUUGUGUAAGACAGAUGUGAAAUCCCCGGGCUCAACCUGGGAACUGCAUUUGUGACUGCACGGCUGGAGUGCGGCAGAGGGGGAUGGAAUUCCGCGUGUAGCAGUGAAAUGCGUAGAUAUGCGGAGGAACACCGAUGGCGAAGGCAAUUCCCUGGGCCUGCACUGACGCUCAUGCACGAAAGCGUGGGGAGCAAACAGG
rnacentral:rRNA from 1 species